GAGAGUGUAGCUCAGUGGCAGAGCGUGUGCUUAGCAUGCACGAGGUCCGGGGUUCUAUUCCCAGUACCUCCA
rnacentral:tRNA from 1 species